GUGGGGAAUAUUGGACAAUGGGCGAAAGCCUGAUCCAGCCAUGCCGCGUGUGUGAAGAAGGUCUUCGGAUUGUAAAGCACUUUAAGUUGGGAGGAAGGGCAGUAAGUUAAUACCUUGCUGUUUUGACGUUACCGACAGAAUAAGCACCGGCUAACUUCGUGCCAGCAGCCGCGGUAAUACGAAGGGUGCAAGCGUUAAUCGGAAUUACUGGGCGUAAAGCGCGCGUAGGUGGUUUUGUAAGUUGGAGGUGAAAUCCCCGGGCUCAACCUGGGAACUGCCUCCAAAACUUCAUGACUAGAGUACGGUAGAGGGUAGUGGAAUUUCCUGUGUAGCGGUGAAAUGCGUAGAUAUAGGAAGGAACACCAGUGGCGAAGGCGACUACCUGGACUGAUACUGACACUGAGGUGCGAAAGCGUGGGGAGCAAACAGGAUUAGAUACCCGUGUAGUCC
rnacentral:rRNA from 1 species